GGAUGUGUAUAAGAGACAGCUGGGCUGUAACUGACGCUGGGGCGCGAGAGCGUGGGGAGCAAACGGAUUAGAUACCCUGGUAGUCCACGCCGUAAACGAUGAGUGCUAAGUGUUAGGGGGUUUCCGCCCCUUAGUGCUGCAGCUAACGCAUUAAGCACUCCGCCUGGGGAGUACGACCGCAAGGCUGUCCCUUAUACACAUCUGACGCUGCCGACGAUCUUACGCGUGUUUAUUUUGCAUUGCUCUGCAUCCCUCACACACACACACCUUUUACACUCCCCUUUUCACUUACCCUCCUCACACUUAACACUUUCUCUCCU
rnacentral:rRNA from 1 species